rnacentral:rRNA from 1 species
UACGUAGGGGGCAAGCGUUGUUCGGAAUUACUGGGCGUAAAGGGCGCGUAGGCGGUCAGCACAAGUCAGUUGUGAAAUCUCCGGGCUUAACUCGGAAAGGUCAACUGAUACUGUGCGACUAGAGUGCAGAAGGGGCAACUGGAAUUCUCGGUGUAGCGGUGAAAUGCGUAGAUAUCGAGAGGAACACCUGCGGCGAAGGCGGGUUGCUGGGCUGACACUGACGCUGAUGCGCGAAAGCCAGGGGAGCGAACGGG